UACGGAGGGUGCAAGCGUUAUCCGGAUUUACUGGGUUUAAAGGGUGCGUAGGCGGACUUUUAAGUCAGGGGUGAAAUCCCGGGGCUCAACCCCGGAACUGCCUUUGAUACUACUGGUCUUGAAUGUUGUGGAGGUGGGCGGAACGGGUCAUGUAGCGGUGAAAUGCAUAGAUAUGACCCGGAACACCGAUUGCGAAGGCAGCCCGCUACGCAACGAUUGACGCUGAGGCACGAAAGCGUGGGGAUCAAACAGG
rnacentral:rRNA from 1 species